rnacentral:rRNA from 1 species
CCUACGGGAGGCAGCAGUGAGGAAUAUUGGUCAAUGGCCGCAGGGCUGAACCAGCCAAGUCGCGUGAGGGAAUAAGGUCCUAUGGAUUGUAAACCUCUUUUGUCAGGGAGCAAAGGGCGCCACGUGUGGCGCUUUGCGAAUACCCGGAGAAAAAGCAUCGGGUAACUCCGUUCCAGCAGCCGCGGUAAUACGGAGGAUGCGAGCGUUAUCCGGAUUUAUUGGGUUUAAAGGGUGCGCAGGCGGAAUGUCAAGUCAGCGGUAAAAUUUCGGGGCUCAACCCCGUCGUGCCGUUGAAACUGGCGUUCUUGAGUGAGCGAGAAGUAUGCGGAAUGCGUGGUGUAGCGGUGAAAUGCAUAGAUAGCACGCAGAACGCCGAUUGCGAAGGCAGCAUACCGGCGCUCAACUGACGCUGAUGCACGAAAGCGUGGGUAUCGAACAGGAUUAGAUACCCGUGUAGUC